rnacentral:rRNA from 1 species
CCCUUAGACGUUCUGGGCCGCACGCGCGCUACACUGACGAAGGCAACGAGCUACUCUUCACCGAAAGGUGUGGGUAAUCUUUUGAAACUUCGUCGUGCUGGGGAUAGAUCCUUGCAAUUUUUGAUCUUAAACGAGGAAUUCCUAGUAAGCGCAAGUCAUCAACUUGCGUUGAUUACGUCCCUGCCCUUUGUACACACCGCCCGUCGCUACUACCGAUUGAAUGGUUUAGUGAGAUCCUUGGAUCGGCCCUGUCGCGGCUGGCAACGGCCGCGUCGGCGCGUCGAGAAGACGAUCAAACUUGAUCAUUUAGAGGAAGUAAAAGUCGUAACA